GAAUGAACGCUGGCGGCAUGCCUAACACAUGCAAGUCGAACGAAUGCCCUUCGGGGUGUUAGUGGCGCACGGGUGCGUAACGCGUGGGAAUCUGCCCUUGGGUUCGGAAUAACAGUUGGAAACGACUGCUAAUACCGGAUGAUGACGUAAGUCCAAAGAUUUAUCGCCCAGGGAUGAGCCCGCGUAGGAUUAGGUAGUUGGUGUGGUAAAGGCGCACCAAGCCGACGAUCCUUAGCUGGUCUGAGAGGAUGAUCAGCCACACUGGGACUGAGACACGGCCCAGACUCCUACGGGAGGCAGCAGUGGGGAAUAUUGGACAAUGGGCGAAAGCCUGAUCCAGCAAUGCCGCGUGAGUGAUGAAGGCCUUAGGGUUGUAAAGCUCUUUUACCCGGGAUGAUAAUGACAGUA
rnacentral:rRNA from 1 species